AGUAUACAACCACCAUUACUCCCGCUAGAUAGCUACCCCUUUCUAUCUUUCUACAACCUCGUGGACAGACGAAAGAAGGGAAGUUACAGAACGGAGCAGUGAAGGCUCGCAAAGUAGACAACAAGCAACCUCUAAAUUGAAGAACGAGCUCCCGCUUAAUUGCAAAGUAGGCCCUUUUUAAGGGUAGAUGAAUCAGAACCACUAGGAGGACAUCAAGCAGAUUACAGACAGAGAUUGGGAUAUUUCUCUGAAACUCCUGAAAAUGGGAACUGAAUGCAGCUUUGGAAGACAUUGAUUUGUUGAUUUAUAUCAUUCAUCACAUUAAAGUUGAACAAAAAUCUGAGAUUGAAUCCAAUUUUUGUGCGAAAGAUUCAUCUUGGAUGACAAUCCAAUAAUUGCAGACUUGUCUGAUCACCUCCAUAUAAAGAUUCCACAGCUUGAGAAAGUAGGCAAUGUUUAGCUUCUUCUACAAACCCAUUGCAACUUCACAUGCAGCUAGUAUCCCCUGGAUGACGCCAGCAAGUCCCCAGCAUAUAUUAUUAGGCUUUCAAGUAAACGUUCCAUUUCCAACAAUACCAGCGAAACAGUGUAUUUCUUUCUCCCGAUGUGGAAGAAUGUUUGAAUGAGGGAGAAAAACACUAAUAAAAGUUUUAUUCACUGCAAAGAACAUGAAUGAAAAAUUGCAUAUUCUCAACAGCAGUCUAAUCACAUGCACUUCCUACUAUAAUCAACAAAAAUACAAAUUGAAAAUCAUGCACAGAGAAAUGGCAUCAAAGUUUCCGAGAUGGUUCUUCAGCUUUCGCAGCUUUCAGCUUAAUCACAGGUUAUAUUCCACAAAGUUUCUUUUUCCCCUAUAAUGGAGAAACAAAUAUGCGAGAUGCAAACUGUACCCUUUAUGGUGGAAUGACGUUGUUCUCAUAAUCUAGAUGAAGCCUCCAGCCAAUAAAAAAGGUGUUUGAAGUACCCUAUGUGAUGAAUCAGACCACCGUGCACCGCCAAAUAUAUAUGUGUACUCAGUUUCAUUUGCAUAGCUUUCCCCAGUUACAACAAACCUACAGUUAGAAAAAGAGAUCAUCACUAAUACCUUGACCAUUUUAGAACUCGCAGCUUGAAUUAAAAACUAGAUUAAAGAAGACAUCCAGAAACUUGGUUUAGAUAUCAUUACAAGCACAACUUUUUAAGAAUUGCAUUUUAAGAGAAUCGUGCGUAACAGUUAGAAGUUGUGAAACAUACCAUGGGUUCAAAAGCUGUUCUAACCUAACAGUUAAAAAUAUUACCAUAAACCGUAAACCAUAUCUAAAAUUUAAUUACAGGGCAACAACUUUUUGCAGUGGUAAUGCAGACAAGUUAAAAACAGAGUUAUUGAAUUUUAUAAUUUUUUUUAAUUUGAAAAAAUAUUAUCAUCAAGAAAAAUAUAUUAGUUUCUUUGUUCUGUAAACAAUUAAUCCUAUGCAGUGGAAAAAGCAGACAAGUUCAAACUAAAAUUGUUCAAUGGUAUUGUAAUGGUCCAAACGUUGGGAGCUCGUCGUGGCAUUUCCAAGAAAUUUUAAAGAUUUUGCAAAUGGCAUGUAUUUGAUGUAGCCAGGCAGCUUUGAGAAACAUUGGGACCACUCUUACUAAACUGGAGUCAAAAGGAAUUAGCAUAUUGCUCACCUAAUGCCAAGGCAUAUUCCUUCAACUUCUAGAGCCAGAGCAGCAACAUGAUCAAAACAAUCCACUGAAAGAUGAAAAUUACAGGAAAAUAUCAGCACUACAAGUAUGUUCCACAGCCGUCAAAGGAUUACAUACUUAACAAAUACAUAAGAUAGAGGAGACCAGUUUUUCUAAUAUAAGUCAAAUGACAGAAAUCAGGAUUACUUGCAUAAAAUGCUAGAUGCUGUGAACAUGCUUCCUUAAGCACCACCAAGUCAAUCUCGCUAUUAACUCUCAACAAGACUUGAGUCACUUGACAAUACUUGCGAACUUAAAGCUAGGAACAAGAGUCUGAACAUAUAAGCAAGGACUUAAAAGAUGCUAUUGGAGUUCUGGUGUCAUGGAGACAAAUACUGAUAGUGCAACACGAGGCAAUCCAGGCGCUGCUGGAUGGGGAGCUAUUUCUAGAAACAGUAGCAAUGAACUUAAAUGUGUCUGAAUUCGUAGUUUAGGG
rnacentral:lncRNA from 1 species